UCUGGCCUUCCUCAUUCAUGUGUGUCUGUUCAGGCUUGUUUUCUCUCAGAAGCUAGGCAGGGCUGUGCCUGGUUAGUAUCUUGAUGGGAGACCACUUGGAAACAUCAUUGAUGCCAGAG
rnacentral:rRNA from 1 species